rnacentral:lncRNA from 10 species
CUGGCCGUGUUAGGCUUCGCUGGCGUAAAGUCCCCGGGAGCUUUGCCCCUCACGGAGAACGUUAGUUGACCCUGAUGGGGACCCGUAGGGUAAAGGUUUUGUUUUUGUUUUUUUUUACGGAAAAGGUUGUGGUUAGGCCCCUUGGAAAGUUGCGACAAAACUCGAGUUAGACAAGGAAGGUCGGAACUAAGUGGCCACAGCAACAAUGCACCAGCAAGCAGGGAGCGUGAUAGGAAGAGCUAAAGAGGAAUCGGGAAACCCUGGGUAAAAGUCGUCCAAGUGGAACUUCCUUUGGUCGGGGGUCUGAUACUCGAAGGAAACGGUCUUUCACUUCUGGGUUAGGGCGUCCGCCCAGAGGGCGACUGCAAUGAAGGAAAUUGUGCCCUGCGACUUCCCGUAACAGAGCUGUGUGUCCACGCUCCCUUUUCCGAGCAGGCGCGGACGCUUGUGCCGGAAGGUCUCACCGCCGUCGCCCAGGCCGGAUGGAGUGCAGUGGCGCGAUCACGGCUCACUGCAGCCUCGACUUCCCAGGCUCAGAGAUGGGUUUCACCAUGUUUCCCAGCCUUGUCUCAAACUCCUGACCUCAAGUGAUCCGCCGUCUUGGGUCUUCGAAAGUGCUGGGACAGCAGGAGUGAGCCACCGCAUCUGGCCCGGAAAGUGUUUUGGAGCGUAGAAAAAUGCAAAUUAUAGGGCUGCCUUCAAGGAUCCCGAAGGACCCACAGAUUUGCCGCAUCAGGCUCCUAUGCACGCCGGUAAUUUGAUGUGUUGAGAUGCACUGCCCAGUGCGUUGUUUUUACUGGAGGAGCUUGUGUGCGGAGCUCCUUGCUAGUGUAUGUGUUGGGAUGGGAGAGAAGUGCGGGAGAACUAUGAGAUAAUGCCCCCUGAUCCUCAGGGUCUUAGGAGGUAUGGUCGGAGAGGCUAAGCUAAAGUAUGAAAGCCGUGUGUAGGCCCUUCUGUGUAGUGCAGAAAAGGUAGAGGUAUGUGAUUUGAAAGAGUAGGGAUGACAUGGAGGAUGCGACUCCUGGUUGGAUCUAUAAACUAAUGUCUUUGGAACGAAAGCACAUGCAACCUUUUGAAAAUGGAUGGGUGAUAAUGAAAGACCAUUCCAGAGAAGAAACACCAUGGUGCAAAGGCUCAAGAGGCAUACUGGAAGUACAAUGAAGAGAGCAAUCUAACUGAAAUGGGAAAAAAAGAAACAAAGAGUAAAAAGUAAGAUUUGAUGAGAAAGAUGGAAUCGAUUUUUAAAUUUUUUUAUCUACACAACAAAAUUUAUUAUCUUAACCAUUUUUGAGUGAAUAAUUCGUUAGUAUUAAGUAUAUUUACCUCGUGCGGCCAGUCUCCAGAAUUCUUUUCAUCUUGCAAAACAAACCCCGAACCCAUUAAACAAUUUCUCAUUCGCCAUUUUCCAGCUAGCCUUGGUAACCUCCAUUCUAGUUCUGUCUCUGUGAAUUUGACUGUGUACCCCGUGUAAGUGGUAUCAUACAGUAUUUGUAUUUUUGUGACUGGCAUAUUUCACAUAGCAUAAUCUCCUUGUGGUUUAUCCAUCUUGUAGCAUGUGUCAGAAUUUCCUUCCCUUUUAAGACUAAAUAAUAUUCCAUUGUGUGUAUA